UUAAAAAUUAAUAAAUUUGAAAAAGUUGAAACUGACACGACCUCCGUCAGUCAUAUCAACCGUCCUCCACUCUUCUACUACCUUCUUCACUUUCUUUCUUUUUCAUUUUCCAUUUUUCGUUUUCCAUUUUUCAUUUUUCGUUUCAACUUUGGGCAAAACUCUCAUUUUCCAUUUUCGUUUCAGCUUAGGUAAAACUCAUAUUUUCUAUUUUCUUCACUUCUUUUCGUGUAAGUGUGUAGUGUACAUUACUCGUCUUCUGCCAUUGUUGUGGUUGUUACAGUCGUGGGUCUCGACGGUGGGUUGUACAAGUAAGUUUCUCCGUUCUACUUUCAAUACUUUUCGUUCUUCACUGUGGGUAUUCAAAAAAAAUCUUUUUUUUUUUGAAGAGAAUGUGGUGUUAGUCUAUUUUCGUGUACUUAAUAGUUUUAUUUUCUCUCAGGUGUCGACGAUAAGGUCUUCAAGGUAGUUACCAUUUCUGUGUUGAGGUGUUUACAAUGGUGUUUAAACGAAAGAGGGGUCCUGGUGCAGAGAAAAAGGAUGCAGUUGAGAUAAAAAAAAGAAUUCGAAGGAAGCUUGGGCAAAAUAUUUUUAAUUGAUGCAGUCAAGCCAAUUUCAAAGCUUUUGCUGCUGCACAUGCAGAUAAAUCAAAAGCAGAUGUGCUUGUAGUUUUAAAGAGCAAAUUAAGCUACUUAGUGAGGAAGAGAUUGAAAAUUGGGCUUCAUAUGAAGUUGAGGCUUCCCCUUCGAAGGUUGGUGUUAGAGGGAAAGGGAAGAAGUUAAAGGAGACAGUAUCUACUGAGCCAGGAAUUGAGAACAAUGAAAGGGUAGGGGAUGUUCAAGUAUCUGGUCGUUUCUCCUUCGAACGUUUGGGUAGAAUAGUCCCACUUCUCAACGACACUCAAAAAGAAAUGGUCAGAAAUGCUAGUUUCUUGACAUUCGUAAGGGAGGAUGGCCCGUACGUUGAUGCUAAGAUAGUUAGUUGGCUGAUCGAUCACGUGGAUCCAACCACUUCUCGGCUGGAGAUAUUUGGAAGAACGAUUCAACUAUCGUUGAAGCUGUUUGAGGAUGUCAUGGGAAUCAGGGAUGGGAGAGAACUUGUGGUAACAGAAAGUGACCGUGACCUCCUUGAGUUUGAGAAAACUUUGAAGGGUAAGGACUAUAGGUUUUCCCUGACUCUGCUGGAGAAGGAUCUGAAGGAAAGCAACGAGAGCGAUUACUUGUUUCUCAUUAAGUUUCUGCUUGUUUUGUAUUGGAACAGUCUUGCUGCCCAAGAAUGGUACCAAGGUCAGGACUAGCUACAUGCAUUCUUUAAUUGAUACAAGGUCAAUUAAGAAGAAGAAUUGGGCGACUGCUGGCUUUCGAUAUCUAAUGACCUCUCUACAGCGGUACAAGACUAAGAACACGAAAAAUGUUUCCGGCUGCACCAUACUUAUAGCUUGUAUAUUUGACUCAUGUUGACUGGACUGCUAGUCAUGUGGACCGCACUGUGGCUCCAAUUGACUUUUGGAACAUAAAACAGUGUAAAUCAGUGUACAAGUGGAUUUGAGACCACGGUGGUCACACUAGUGGAAAGGUGAAAUUGACUAAUACCUAUGUGUUAGUACCAAGUUUUGAAUCCGCUAUAGUUGGGCAACCAACAAAUGAUACAAUUUACAAAGCUGUCUGUGAGUUGAAAGAUGAGGUCUUCCGCCUUGAUUUGAAGGUGAAUAGUACAAAAGAGCUGUUACUGAAGCUAGUCUCAAGUUACUUUGGCAAGGGUAAUAUAAAUGAAAUGUUCGAGAUACCUGAGAUGAGCAAAGUUCAGCGCUCGCUUUCUUUCAAGGGGGAGACCGAGAAGAAGGAUGAGUUGGGUGUGGACCAAAAAGAUGGUGAAAGGACGAAGGAUAAAUCCGAAGAGGCUGUCGAUGAUGCACUAAGUGUCCCUUCACUUAAUCUAUCAGAAGAUAAUGUCGAUGUUCCAAUUGAGAAGGCUGUUUUUGAAGAGUCUUUUGAAGAUAUCAACUUUUGGGUAGAAGAAGUCCCAGUUAUUGUGAAAGAGGAAGUUGAGCUGACCGCCAAGGAUGAUUUUGAUGCUGCUGCCUUAGAAAGAUUCAAAGAUUUUGGAGGAAAGGUGAUUGGGCCCUUCACUGUCAACAAUGUUUAUUCGAAUCAAAUGUGUGAGUUCUUUCGUUACAUUUUCUCUCGCGCCAAUGAUCCGAGUGAAGUGUUAGCCUAUUUUGGGAAGGUUGAGGUUGAUCGUCGGGGAUUUCAAUGCAUAAGACCAGAGUCCAAUAUCUCAAACAGUUUACUUGGAAGAUCAAUGGCUGUGGAGAGGAUGGCGAGGGAGCAACAGUGUUCCACUCUUUAUUACGAUGAAGAUUUGAAUUUAUGUCACAAUGUAAUUUGCAUUUUCUUGAUACUUUUGUGUUUUUGCAUAUUUCUUUAGUUAACUAUUUUUAUGACGUUGCUUGUUUUACUUUGUCGCAAAUGGUGAUACCCCUAUUGGAUACUGAGAGUGCUCCGCACUGGUAUGCAGCGAAUCUAACCAUGGAUAAUGCAACAGUGGAAAUCAGAGAUUCAUUGUCUACUGCAAUGCAUAAGAGGUCACGUCGAAACGUUUGCCUAGAGAUGCUGAACACUUUGGACCUAUUGUUCGCCUCUGUGUAGCCAGCACACCUGAAAUUUGGCCAAUUUCUAAUUAUUUCUUCCGACAGUGACUACCCACAGCAACAAAAUGGGCACGAUUAUGGGCUUUUUGUAAUGAAGUACAUGGAAUCAAUGGUUGAGGGAAAUGAAACAAUGCAAGAGUAGUUUAAUGUUGUUUUCAUUAGUUUUCAUCUAUUUAACUAUGUGUUUAUAACUAAAUUGAGGUCUUAAAGCUGUCAAUUUAUGUUAUGUUGAUUUGUUUUUCGGAAUUUCAUCCUCAUGUCUAUUUACGAAAUUGGAUCCCAAAUGUAUUGUCAGUUUGAUCCAAUUGAAGCUAGACUAGAGUGUGUUGGGAAAAUUGUGACCCACGAGAGUAACAAGGCUAAAGCUGUGGUUAUGGAGGGAGUUAAGAAGCAAUUUGAAAUGACCAAAACUCUUCCAUCAGCAUCCACAACAAAACCAGUACUUAGUCCAUCUCAGUCUCCUCGAGACCCCCGAUUCAGCACAGUGAAGGCUAGGUUUGAGAACAUGUGGACUAGAAAGAGCAAGUCCUAAAAGGCUGGCAUCAAGUCAUAAGUAGUAACAUUCAUGGUUCACAAACACUAUUGUAGCUAUCUUGCAUACAACUAUUACAAAAGUUAGGUUUUAGUUCAUUAGUUAUAUUUAGUUAUGUUAUAUAUUGCAUAAGUUUGUUGGAACAAUUUUCAUCUUACUACUGUAAGGUGAUUAGGAAUUACACUAAUGUUGGUGAUUAGCA